CCGGCGCACGGGUGAGUAACACGUAUCCAACCUGCCGAUGACUCGGGGAUAGCCUUUCGAAAGAAAGAUUAAUACCCGAUGGCAUAGUUCUUCCGCAUGGUGGAACUAUUAAAGAAUUUUGGUCAUCGAUGGGGAUGCGUUCCAUUAGGUUGUUGGCGGGGUAACGGCCCACCAAGCCUUCGAUGGAUAGGGGUUCUGAGAGGAAGGUCCCCCACAUUGGAACUGAGACACGGUCCAAACUCCUACGGGAGGCAGCAUG
rnacentral:rRNA from 1 species